rnacentral:lncRNA from 1 species
UUUUUAAUUUUUUUUUUACGAUGAAAUGUAGCAUCUGCAAAAACAAGUCCACUUUAAUUUCAUGACAUGACGGUCCUUAUUUUAAUACUAUAUUGCACUUAUUUGUCCGUCCACUUGAUUAUUCAGAGGAUCAUGUUUUGCACAUGUAUUAAAGUGUAACUUCUGUGGCUUUCCCCUUUUAGAAUAUCAUUUUGCUAUAUAUUUGUCAUAUACUUCCAAAUGACCAUAUUCUGUGGAGUAGAACAGUUGCAACCUGCACUUUUUAAAGAAAUUUUAACAUAAAAGGCUUGAUUUGAAAACAUGUCAUAGUAAUGCAUUUAUUUAUUCAGCUGCCAGUAAUUGUAUUCUUGAAUAUCUGUGGUAUUUACUUUGAAGCUUUUGCAUGUUUAAAACUUGUAAAAACUGUAGUGUUUGAAUUUCCUGUUACCUCUUUCAUUGCUAUUUCAAAUCCAGCCUAAAUGAGAUUGCAUGUUCUUGUGCAAUUAUGAAGAAUAAAGUUUAAUUAUAGCCUGGGGGAUUCUGCCUAGACCUAUCCAAUCUGCCAUUGUUAUUGGCAUUGAUGAUGAAGUGUUAGGAUAAUGGACUCUGUACUUUUGAUGCAUGUCUAAUUUUGUGUGUAGUCUCUAAAUAUAUUACCUAGGCAACUAGACAUUUUACAUGUAUAGUAUUGUCCUUUAGCACACCUCCUAAAAGGCACAAUAUGAUUUUAUAUCUAAAAGUCUAAUUUAGAGGGGGAAAUCUCCUCCUCCUCCUCCUCUCCUUUUUCCUUCUUCAUGUUAUGGUUAUAUAGCUACAUACAUUGCUAUAACUUUUUCCAAUUUUACCUACCAUGCCUUUUCUCUCUCUCUUUUCUUUUCUUUUCUUUUCUUUUUUCUUUUUUUUUUUUUUAAGGUCAAAUCACAUUUGACUCGGACCGUUUAGUUUAAGGCUUGUCAUAACACAUACUAAAAAUGACAGCUCCCAAUUACAGCAGAAUGAGCAACUUACAAGCACUUUCCCCUCCUAAUUUUGCAGAGCAAGCAAUUUUUUUCCAGUUAUCACUCUGUAUUUUGCAGUGGCAAACAACAUUCUUUGUUGAAAAACAGUUGUAUGGUUAUCUUAACAAAGGAUUGUAAAAUACAUAAGAUGACUUACCCAAAACACGUGUAGCAAAAUAUUCUAUUAAAAUGUUGUUGUAUGUUUCCCUUUGCUUUCUUUAUGUAUACUGGAGCAUGGCCGCAGCAAGCAUUUAUAGUUGUUUUUUGUUCGUUUUUUUGGGGAGCUGUCUUAUUUUUAAAGGUUUGUUUUGUUUUGUUUUCACACCAUUUAUGACAGAUGAUUUGUUAGGUAUUUCAUAACUAGUAACUUGUGCAAACCUUGUUUUAGCUGGGUAUUGGCACUGGAGAUUCAUCUGUUUUGGAAUGUUUUUGUGUUUUUUUAAUGAGAAAUGUUUGACAAUAAUGAAGGACUGUGCUCAUAGCUUCUUGGCACCAUAAUCAUUACAAUAAGUGGUAUUGUGUGUUUUUAGCUGUUUGUCUGUGGAAGAUCAAUAAAGAAACCCUAAUUGAACUGCAAACUUUCAUUCUAACAAUCUAUUAGCCUUCUUAUUAAAUUUUAUUUCCUAAAGGGUGCUACACACGUUUCCAUUGUAUAGUUAGUGAUAUGCUGCAUAGUACUGCUUCUUCAUAACUGUCAACAUUGGAAUCAGGGCAUGGGUGGGCUGACAAGUACUGUGACAUGUCUGGCUCUUUUAGAGGGGUGUUUUACACCUGAAAGAAAGGUUAAACCUGCCCUAAAUUGUGCUUACUGUAUACUUAAUAUCUGGUUUCCCUGGGAUAGGACCCCAAAUUCUGAAUAGUCCUCCCAGGUCUAGUUUAGUUAAAGUAUAUGCUCCUUUUUGUUGUAAUACCAUGGGAAGCUUACGAUGGUAUUCUUACAAUAUAUUUUUUAUCUUUUUGGACUUUUUAAAUCAUGUUUAGCUUUUAGUUGAAUUACAUCAUACAAUAUUAUGUAAAAAAAAAAAAAUCUCUUUAAAGUGUUUUUGUCAGGCAGGUAUAGAUUUGCUUGCACACAAGCUGUCUGGAGGAUGUUCUUUUUGAUCAUCCUAAACGUCAAACUAUUAUUACAUGGAUAGCUUAAUUAUUUUAUCCUGUAUAAAAACGAAUAGAGGAAUGUUCAAAUGUAUAACCAGUGCCUGCAUCAGAAUAAUUUCAUGUUGGCUGGCAAUGAUAACUGACACACCCCUAUAUCUGAAAUCAUGGCUGUUAGUGAAGAUAGUAGCUCCCAAUUACAGCAGAAUGAGCAACUUACAAGCACUGUGUAUAUAAUUGUCAUAAAUCGGUGUUUGAUAAGUUUGUAUUUAGCAUUUAUACAUGUAUAGAUGCAAUUGUGAUUUUGAAUCGGGGCACAAAAUUGUCAUGUGCCCACUAGCCACUGGUUAGUGCAUUUCAUUCCAAGUAAGUAUGUCAUGGACCACUCUACUGGUUGUGAGAAUUCACUGUUGUUUGCUAGCAGUGGCUUAUUGUAACAGUGGACUCCCUGAACCUUAUGCUCAAAUUCUUUCACCAGGCAGUCACUGUAAUGGUGCCCAGUGGUUGGGCUUUUUUUUAAAAAUUUUUUUUUGCACCUGGAAGCAGGGGCGUACCUAGAGCAUUUGGCACCCUUGCCCUUCCCCCUCCUCCCAGGGCCAGUUUGGCUCCACCUCUGAUUUUGCUUAGCUCCGCCCCACCUUUCCUCCGUGCGGCCAGUUUAUCAGCUGUUUGCUUGUGUGAGCUGUACUGGCCGCACGGCACCCGAACUACCAUGGGGCACUGUGCGGCCACAGCUCACACAGCCCCCUCCAGCCAGGGCCGGUGCAAGGAUUUUUGCCGCCCUUGGCAAAAGUAAAGUUUGCCGCCCCACCCAUAUGAUUUGCCAUGUUAUCGAACGCCAGUGCUGCCAUGUUUACAUUAAAAGGCCUGCAGGGACAGGCUAUGGACACCGGAACCACUACAUUAAGCUGCAGUGGUUCUGGGGACUAUAGUGUUUCUUUAAUGUGAGGUAAAUUAGAGAUUAGUGCCACGAAUAAUAUACUAGAUUGCCUACUUACAACCAGAUGAGGAUGAUGAUGGGCUCUAGCUGCAGUCUGGCUCAACUGGUCUGGUGUAGAACAGGCUCUCUGGAGGCGGCUUGUAACUGUGGUCACAAAAAUCAAUGUUCUGGGAGAACUGGAAGCAGUUCCAUUUUUUGGGGGGCCCUUUACACAGCUCAAGGUCUGGGUCCCAGGGUCCACCUUCAUGUUCCAUCAAGGAGUUUGUUCACAGGGGGGUGGAGUGUGUAGGGGAUGUCCUGAUAUGUGUGUAAGGAAUGCAUUGUGUGAAUCUGUGUUUGGAUGUGUAAGGGCUGCAAGGUGUAUUUCUGUGUAUGUACGGGAUGCAUUGAGUGUGUGUGUGUGUGUAAGGGAUGCAUUGUGUGUAACGGUUGCAUUGCUUGUGUCUGUGUGUCAGUGUGUGUAAUGCAUUGUGUGUGUUUCUGUGUGCAAGGGGUGCAUUGUGUGUGAUGAAUGUCAAUCUCUCUCUCCCCCCCUCCAAUUUCCUUCUCUCUCCCCCCUCAAUUUCCUUCUCUCCCACUCAAUUUCCUUCUCUCCCCCCCUCAAUUUCCUUCUCUCCCCCCCUCAAUUUCCUUCUCUCCCCCCCCUCCAAUUUCCUUCUCUCCCCUCCUCCAAUUUCCUUCUCUCCCCCCC